CUUCAAAGCUUGUCAAACUCUCAGACAGGAUCUGACUGAGACGUGGCAGGAUUGAAGUUGACAGUGAGCAAAUUGUCCAGUCUCUGCCACCUGCCUGGAGCUCUGAACCUAAUUCACAUCUGCAUGAGUCUUUUUUUCUCUUCAUGUCACCCUCUAAUGAGACUGCUAAUGACCAACACCUGUCUAACAGUCAAUCCCGAGCUGAGAACGGUUUCUUUUGUCUAAUGAAGAGUUUCCAUCAGUGGAUCUCAGAUCAGUAUGUGCUAUUUUUCUCAUUCGAUAGCAGUAUGAGCUCAGUGUUUUGUUGCAGACGGUUGUGCUGUGGUUUGGUGUGGAGUUCACAGCGUUGACGGAGGCCCAGGGGAAGCGCUCUAUUCACAGUGAAGCGAGAUGAACACUGUUGUGCUGGAUGAGGGAACAGCAGGAGGACUGAACUCAGAAGGUGUGUGAGCGGUUGCCAGGCCAAAGUUUAGUGCUGGUGUGUUGCAGAAUGAGUAUGACUGUUGGGUCUCAAUCGAAAUCUCUGCCUCAGGGAUAAUCCAAUGCAACACGUAUGCAAACCCUCCUGAAAUCUUUGGAAAAAAAUCUAUAUGGGAGUGCAGGUUUGGUCCAAGGACAACACAAAUAUACACACACCUUCCUUGAACCAUCAGCUGCUGUUUAUCAGUCCUCGGUGCUGCAGGUCUGACAGCAGCUACACCUCCAUCUCAAGCUGUCAGCUCUAACACACUGCACCAUCUGAUGGAGAGGGGAAAACAGGCGAAGAAGGAACAGGAGGAAGAUAACUUAGUCAGAUAGCAUGCUAAAGGUCAGCAUUGCUGGUGUUGGUUGACAUUGUAGGUGUCUGGUAUCUCAACAUUAUCCUAUCAGCUGUUUUUGCUUGAGUUCAUCCCCUCAGUGUUUCAACUUAACCCAGAGGAAAAUUCAGUAGCCCUGAGGUUGCUUUCUCAUGGAUAUCUCAGUUAUGAACUAUAAAUCUAAUUUCCAUACAGAUUUGACAUUAACGCCAAAAUUAUAUUGGUUCUAGUGUGUCAUUUAAAAGAUUUGAUGAUGAAAAAUGUUUAUUAUAAACUUGGUCUCAGAUAUUUCUUCAAAAAUAAGACAUAAGUAGAAGUUUAAUAUUUAUGAAAGGUCUAAAUGAAAUGUUUUUUUUUUUUUUUAUUUGUUAUUUUUAAACCGUAAUAUUUAAAUUUAAUUAUAUAUAAAUUAGUGCUGUCAAACGAUGAAUUGCAUCC
ensembl:lncRNA